rnacentral:rRNA from 1 species
CCUACGGGUGGCAGCAGUGAGGAAUAUUGGUCAAUGGGCGCGAGCCUGAACCAGCCAAGUAGCGUGAAGGAUGACUGCCCUACGGGUUGUAAACUUCUUUUAUAAAGGAAUAAAGUGAGGCACGUGUGCCUUUUUGUAUGUACGUUAUGAAUAAGGAUCGGAUAACUCCGUGCCAGCAGCCGCGGUAAUACGGAGGAGCCGAGAGUUAGCCGGAUUUAGUGGGGUUAAAGGGAGCGUAGAUGGGUUGUUAAGUCAGUUGUGCAAGUUUGCGGCUCAACCGGACAAUUGCAAUUGAUACUGGCAGCCUUUAGUACAGUUUAGGUAGGCGGAAUUC